rnacentral:rRNA from 1 species
UCAGAUCAGGCAGGAUUACCCGCUGAACUUAAGCAUAUCAAUAAGCGGAGGAAAAGAAACUAACAAGGAUUCCCCUAGUAACGGCGAGUGAAGCGGGAAGAGCUCAAAUUUGUAAUCUGGCACUUUCAGUGUCCGAGUUGUAAUCUCGAGAAGUAUUUUCCGCGCCGGACCGCAUACAAGUCUGUUGGAAUACAGCGUCAUAGUGGUGAGAACCCCGUAACUGAUGCGGAUGCCCGGUGCUUUGUGAUAUACUUUCGAAGAGUCGAGUUGUUUGGGAAUGCAGCUCAAAUUGGGUGGUAAAUUCCAUCUAAAGCUAAAUAUUGGAGCAAGACCGAUAGCGAACAAGUACCGUGAGGGAAAGAUGAAAAGCACUUUGGAAAGAGAGUUAACAGUACGUGAAAUUGUUGGAAGGGAAACGCUUGAAGUCAGACUUGCUAUUCGGAGUUCAGCCGCAAGGUGUAUUCUUCGAUUCGCAGGCCAGCAUCAGUUUUUGGGGGUGGAAAAUCGCGGUUUGA